CAGUAGAUUUAACUUUAUAUUCCCUUCCUGUCCCUCCCAAAGUGCACUUUAAAUUCAGACCCUGUUGAUAUGAGUGAACUAUAAAAAAGACCAAGGAUCUGAUUCAUGAAAGCUUUGGAACAGUAGCGUUCUUCCACUGCUGGAGAAAGAGAAAAUAUAGUCCUUUUAGUAUACUUCUGUAGCGGAGGGCACAGGAAUAUCUGUGCCAAUUAACUGACUCACUUUGCUCACAGAAGUUACAAAACAGCAUUUCAGCAGAGGAUGCAGAAGCUUGUGUGACGCUACAGACAAAAACCUGUCAAUCCAUUUCAAGUCCCAUUUCAAAGCUGAUCACCCUCAACAGCUGGAAAAGAACAACAUAACUUGUCCAGCUAAGCAACAUGGCUUUGAAGGGAAUGUCUCUGAUAUGUCUGUUAUUCAUUGCUACGUCUGUCAUCAGCAUCUCUCGCGCUCAGAACCCCCUGGCCUUCAGACGGAAACAUUUGACCCUACUGGACACCAUAGACCACAACAGAUGUAAUAGUGAAAUGAGAAACAAAUGGAUCGCAAUGACUAGAGAUGGCUGUAAAAAACUCAACACGUUCAUUCAUGCUCGCGAGGAGGUUAUCGAUGCCACAUGCACCAUGGGGAAAGUGCAUGUCAUAAAGGGCCAGGAGUAUAAAAAAAGUAUUCGUAAAUUCAGGGUCACUAAUUGCAGACUCUCUGGGGAAUACCCUAAUGACUGCGAGUACAUGGCGGAAAAGAGUGCCUGGAAAUAUAUAGUCAUCUCUUGUGACCAGAACGAUCGCCCAGUGCAUUUUGCAGGGACACUGAACUGGUAGGAGUCAGGAAGUGGGUGAAGGGGCUUAUUCCUAAUGCUUCGGGGUGCUGCAGCCUCUUGUGCUGCAAAUCACACCAUUUAUACUGACAGGUUUCAGAGUAACAGCCGUGUUAGUCUGUAUUCGCAAAAAGAAAAGGAGUACUUGUGGCACCUUAGAGACUAACCAAUUUAUUUGAGCAUGAGCUUUCGUGAGCUGUAGCUCACAAAAGCUCAUGC